rnacentral:tRNA from 1 species
UAUGGCAGAUUAGUGCAAUGAAUUUAAGUUUCAUGAAUAAAGCCAAGCUUUUUUUAGAAA